rnacentral:rRNA from 1 species
GAUGAACGCUGGCGGCGUGCCUAAUACAUGCAAGUCGAGCGAACGGACGAGAAGCUUGCUUCUCUGAUGUUAGCGGCGGACGGGUGAGUAACACGUGGAUAACCUACCUAUAAGACUGGGAAAACUUCGGGAAACCGGAGCUAAUACCGGAUAAUAUUUUGAACCGCAUGGUUCAAAAGUGAAAGUCGGUCUUGCUGUCACUUAUAGAUGGUUCCGCGCUGCAUUAGCUAGUUGGUAAGGUAACGGCUUACCAAGGCAACUAUGCAUAGCCGACCUGAGAGGGUGGUCGGCCACAUGAGAACGGGGACAGGGUCCAGACGACUACGAGAGGGAGCAGUAGGGAAUCUGCCGCAAUAGGCGAGAGCCUGACGGAGUAACGCCGAGUGAGUGAUGAAGGUCUUCGGAUCGUAAAACUCUGUUAUUAGUGAAGAACAGAUGUGUAAGUAACUGUGCAGAGCUUGACGGUAACUAAUCAGAAAGCCACGGCUAACUACGUG